GAAAGCACCUCUUCUAGUCAGAUGCUGGCCAAUCCCGAGCUCCAGUCCACCUAGGGCUCCGCCCCCGACUGAGGACAGAUGGCUCUCUUUGAGGUUUAUGACGGACUCUGUCCGUUUGCUUGUUGAAGGUUGCUUCCAACUUUGAAGGCAAGGACCCCCGCAGCAAAGUGUCGGGCACCUUUGUUCAGACUCAAGAUGUCCACUGAAUCAUUAGUUGGAGAGAGGAAAAGGAAAUUCAUCUAAGGUUCCAACUGGUUUAUACACUCUUUAUUCUUUUAGGCUCAUACAUUUUCUUAACCCCAUGGAUUAAGUCAACACUUCUGCUCACUCAUGGCUCAUUAUUUACCUGAUUGUCCUUUCUACCUCAUGACUUGAUUUUGCUCCCAGAACUAAAUGGAAAGGCCCAAAGAUUGAUAUAACCAGGAUAGUGGUUCUGGGAAUAAUGUUGGAAGGAGAAGAUAGGUGUGAAGAUUAGCUCUUCAUUAGCUCUUCACUCCAGUCACAAUAGACAGCACACAAUUCUCUGUCCCUUCGAACAUGCUGUUCCCUCUGCUUGAAAGACGCAGCUUUGGGGCAGCCCCGUUAGCUCAGUUGGUUAGAGCACGAUGCUCGUAACACCAGGAUUGCCGGUUUGAUCCCCACAUGGACCACUGUGAGCUGUGCCCUUCACAACUAAAU